rnacentral:lncRNA from 1 species
CUCACAUAAUCACUCGAGGCUUGAAAGCCUCCUCACAUAAUCACUUGAGGCCUAAAUCCUCCUCACACAAUCACUCGAGGUCUGAAAGCCUCCUCACAUAACACUCGAGGCCUGAAAGCCUCCUCACAUAACCUCCUCACACAAUCAGUCGAGGCCUGAAAGCCUCCUCACAUAACACUCGAGGCCUGAAAGCCUCAUCACAUAAUCACUCGAGGCCUGAAAGCCUCCUCUCAUAACACUCUAGACCUGAAAGCCUCACCCAGUCAAGAAUAUCAUAAGCCCCUCGCACGUUAAUAAAAUAAUAGUCAUUAGCCCAAACGACAGUGAAAUAUCAUUAAAGUCUCAAAAUUCAAUUAAAACGGGGCUGAGUUUGCAUAACAGUAUAAUCAUUAGGAAUGAGUUCAAAUAACAUAUCAAAAAUAGUGAGGAAAUAGUUAUAACAAUCCCUGAAGGAUCCAAAUAGUCGGCAUUAAGCAUAAAGCACUGCAAUAAGCCCCAAAUCAUGAUGAUAAACAAAACAACUCAGUCAAAUACGCGGUAAAAUAUCAAUUGGGACGGACCAAGUCACAAUCCCCAAUAGUAAAUAAAUCAUGCGCUAAUUAUAAAAUGCGUGUUUCAUCUCAAUAUAGCACUACGUUGUGCAAAUUCGGGGUUUCAAACCCUCAGGAUAUCAUUUACUAUCAUUACUCAC